UUACUUUUAGGUUUUUUUAAAUGCACUUGAACUUUUUUUUUACUAAGAGGAGCAUGCGUACACGGGUUUUCAUCCUCAAGUAAAGACACUAAACAGACAGAAAAGCAUUGUUUAAGUAAAUGUUAAUGUACCCAUCAAUAAUCAUAAUCUCACCGGAUCCACUAUGACAACAUCUAAUAAAACGGACGAAUGUUGAAAAAAAAAUUACAAGCCAAAACCUGAAAAGACGGAUCGUCACGUAAUGCAUAAGACGGUUGUGGAUCCUAUUAUUUUAUAUUGAAAAAAAAACGUAGGUAACGUGGUAUUUAGAAAAAAAACGCACAGUUUACCUCAAGAAAUGUGUACCAUAAAUCUAACUGAUCCCUUUUAAUACACGCGCUAAACAUUCCGUCGACUAGCAACGCUACAUGUGUAUCCCUAAUGUGAUUAACAACCCCCACUAAAAAAAGAUAUACAAGAAACAUAGACAGAAAGGUUUGAUGGUUUUUCAUAAAGUUUUCACAUCAAUGAAAACCUCAUUGUCAAGUGCACAACAUGCCUAUAAAAGAAUUUGGAGACGGACGAAAAAUUAAACAUUUGAGUUCAACUCGAAAAGAAAUUAUACCAAACUUGUCCGAAUGAUAGGAAAAUCCCAAAGGGUCCGUUUUUACAGAUUUAGGAACAUAAGCUAUCCAAACUCCAUUGAAUUCGUCUAAAAAUCUUA